AACCACACCGUCGUACAAGUGAACAAAAACGCCAACCCAGACCCACUGCCAAAAAAAGAGGAAGAGAAGAAGGAGGAGGAGGAAGACGACCGUGGGGAAGACGGCCCUAAGCCAAUGCCUCCCUAUAGCUCCAUGUUCAUCCUGUCCACGACCAACCCCCUUCGCCGCCUGUGCCAUUACAUCCUGAACCUGCGCUACUUUGAGAUGUGCAUCCUCAUGGUCAUUGCCAUGAGCAGCAUCGCCCUGGCCGCCGAGGACCCUGUGCAGCCCAACGCACCUCGGAACAACGUGCUGCGAUAUUUUGACUACGUUUUUACAGGCGUCUUUACCUUUGAGAUGGUGAUCAAGAUGAUUGACCUGGGGCUCGUCCUGCAUCAGGGUGCCUACUUCCGUGACCUCUGGAAUAUUCUUGACUUCAUAGUGGUCAGUGGGGCCCUGGUAGCCUUUGCCUUCACUGGCAAUAGCAAAGGAAAAGACAUUAACACGAUUAAAUCCCUCCGAGUCCUCCGGGUGCUACGACCUCUUAAAACCAUCAAGCGGCUGCCAAAGCUCAAGGCUGUGUUUGACUGUGUGGUGAACUCGCUUAAAAACGUCUUCAACAUCCUCAUCGUCUACAUGCUAUUCAUGUUCAUCUUCGCCGUGGUGGCUGUGCAGCUCUUCAAGGGGAAAUUCUUCCACUGCACUGACGAGUCUAAGGAGUUUGAGAAAGAUUGUCGAGGCAAAUACCUCCUGUACGAGAAGAAUGAGGUGAAGGCGCGAGAUCGGGAGUGGAAGAAGUAUGAAUUCCACUACGACAAUGUGCUGUGGGCUCUGCUGACCCUCUUCACCGUGUCCACGGGAGAAGGCUGGCCACAGGUCCUCAAGCACUCAGUGGAUGCCACCUUUGAGAACCAGGGCCCCAGCCCGGGGUACCGCAUGGAGAUGUCCAUUUUCUACGUUGUCUACUUUGUGGUGUUCCCCUUCUUCUUUGUCAAUAUCUUUGUGGCCUUGAUCAUCAUCACCUUCCAGGAGCAAGGGGACAAGAUGAUGGAGGAAUACAGCCUGGAGAAAAAUGAGAGGGCCUGCAUCGAUUUCGCCAUCAGCGCCAAGCCACUGACCCGACACAUGCCGCAGAACAAGCAGAGCUUCCAGUACCGUAUGUGGCAGUUCGUGGUGUCUCCACCUUUCGAGUACACGAUCAUGGCCAUGAUCGCCCUCAACACCAUCGUGCUGAUGAUGAAGUUCUACGGGGCUUCUGUUGCUUAUGAAAAUGCCCUGAGGGUGUUCAACAUCGUCUUCACCUCCCUCUUCUCCCUGGAAUGUGUGCUGAAAGUCAUGGCUUUUGGGAUUCUGAAUUAUUUCCGCGAUGCCUGGAACAUCUUCGACUUUGUGACUGUUCUGGGCAGCAUCACCGAUAUCCUCGUGACUGAGUUUGGGGUAAGUCUCCCGCCAGCUUCUCUCUGGGUGACUCUGGGCUGGACGAGGCAGGCGGCAGGGGGCGGGGGAGCGGUCCCAGAGGCAGUGUGUCCCGACAGCCAUAGCUGCUUGAGCCAGCACUUGGCCAUGACCAGAGAGGGAAAACUGGGGCCCUGGGGACCAGGGCAGCCCCUCAGGAGGGCAUCGUGGGGAGAUGGGGGUGACCAAAGCUUGGCUGUAGGGCCAGCACUGAGGGGUGGGCUUUCCUGCAUCCUGGCCUAGGAAUUAAUAAUGCAAAUGAGUACAUUGAAGGAACUGAGACACUCAAAAGCUCCUAAAGCUGAGCUGGCUCCCAAACACCACCCUAUGUCAGGAGCCCAGAAAGAAUGAGUUUCAAGUCAAUUCUGUUUGAACCAACCCUCUCCUGGUUCGUGGGCAGGAGAGAGCCACAGCCCUCAGGCCAAUGUGGGGACACCACUCCCAGGGCCAUAGAGGGGUCCCCAGGGUGCUUCCCUCCUCUAGCCCCAGGCCUGGGAGACUCUCAACAUGGGAGUCUCUGGACCUCUCUGUGGUGGCCCCGCAGGCCACAUUGUCCUUCUCCUUUUCUGGAAGACUCAGGGCCCCAGAGUUCCUGUCCCAGUCCCUCUCCUUGGUCAUCUGCCAAUGAGCCCAGGCUUGGGGUCCCUUAGGAGAUUUGGGGGAGGGUAUAAGAUCCUUGCAGGGGGAAGCAAUGGUCAAAGGGCGUCAAAGCCAAGGGUCAAGGGUGAUAUCAAUGUUGUCUUAAUAACAAUAAAAAUAACAAUAGCUCACAAGAAUCGCAGCCUUGCUGUGUGCCAGGGAACUGUGCCAAGUGGUUUACGUGGAUUGGCUCAGGGUAGAGGUCUCGGUCUCAGCUUGUAAGAGAAUACCCUCGGAGGGUUCAACUGAAGGCACCCAAAUGCAGAGAUCACUGGUGGAGGGGAAGGGAAGGGUACCCACAAGGGUGGCAAGGUGCCCAGCGACCAGCCACCAUGGGGAGCCGUUACCUGCCCAGGUGCUGAAGUGGGGAGGGAACCUGAGCAGGAGGCCAGGAGAAGCCACCAAGUGGGAACUGUCCUGUCAAUGUGGAGAGACAGAGACCAGGGCCAAAGCAGGCAGAGAGCAACAGGGGAGAAACACUCCAACCUUUCUCCCCACUCAUCCCUUAUCUCCUGCCAGAGCCUCCCAUUGCCCAAAGUAAACUGGAAGCAAGCUGAAUAUGAUGCUCAGAGCAGGCAGAGAAGUCAGGAGAAUAGAUCCGGGUGUGGUCCGGCCUGAGGAAGAGGGUGUUGCCUCAUUUCACAGAUGGGAAAACUGACCUCAGCCAGGCACGGUGGCUCACGCCUGUAAUCCCAGCACUUUGGGAGGCCGAAGCCGGCGGAUCACCUGAGGCCAGGAGUUCAAGACCAGCC
rnacentral:sRNA from 1 species